GCCUAGUAGCGGGAUAACUACGCGAAAGCGUAGCUAAUACCGCAUACGUUCCUUCGGGGGAAAGCGGGGACCUUCGCCUCGCAGACCAUUAGAGCGGCCGCCGAUAUCGGAUUAGCUAGUUGGUGGGGUAACGGCUCACCAAGGCGACGAUCCGUAGCUGGUUUGAGAGGACGACCGUCAUUACUGGGGACUGGAGAUACCGGGCCUGUGACUCCUACGGAGGCAGCAGUGCGGGGGAAUUUUGACAAAUGGGCCUGAUCCAGCCAUCCCGCGUGUGCGAUGAAGGCCUUCGGGUUGUAAAGCACUUUAAGCAGGAAAGAAACGGCACGGGAUAAUACCCCGUGCAACUGAUUGCGCCUGCAGAAUAAGCACCGGCUGCACAUACGCCAGCAGCCGCGGUAAUACGUAGGGUGCAAGCGUUAAUCGGAAUUACUGGGCGAAGCGUGCAGGCGGUUCGAAAGAAAGAUGAAAUCCCAGAGCUUAACUUUGGAACUGCAUUUUUAACUACCGCCGAGCUGAUAGUGUGUCAGAGGAGGUGGAAUUCCGCGUGUAGCAGUGAAUGCGUAGAUAUGCGGAGGAACACCGAUGGCGAAGCGCAGCCUCCCUGGGAUAACACUGACGCUCAUGCACGAAAGCGUGGGGAGCAAACAGGAUUAGAUACCCUGAAGUAGUCCACGCCCAAACGAUGUCAACUAGCUGUUGGGGCCUUCGGGCCUUGGUAGCGCAGCUAACGCGUGAAGUUGACCGCCCGGGGAGUACGGUCGCAAGAUUAAAACUCAAAGGAAUUGACGGGGACCCCGCACAAGCGGUGGAUGAUGAGAUUUAAUUCGAUGCAACGCGAAAAUCUUACCUACCCUUGACAUGUCUGGAAUCCCGAAGAGAUUUUGGGAGUGCUCGCAAGAGAACCGGAACACAGGUGUUGCAUGGCUGUCGUCAGCUCGUGUCGGGAGAUGUUGCUGAAAACCUGCAACGAGCGGCAACCCUUGUCAUUAGUUGCUACGAAAGGGCACUCUAAUGAGACUGCCGGUACAAACCGGAGGAAGGUGGGGAUGACGCUAAGUCCUCAUGGCCCUUAUGGGUAGGGCUUCACACGUCAUACAAUGGUCGGGACAGAGGGUCGCCAACCCGCGAGGGGGGAGCCAAUCCCAGAAACCCGAUCGUAGUCCGGAUCGCAGUCUGCAACCUGACUGCGCGGAAGUCGGAAUCGCUAGUAAUCGCGGAUCAGCAUGUCGCGGUGAAUACGUUCCCGGGUCUUGUACACCGCCCGUCACACCAUGGGAGUGUGGGUUUUACCAGAAGUAGUUAGCCUAACCGUAAGGAGGGCGAUUACCACGGUAGGAUUCCAUGACUGGGGUGAAGUCGUAACAAGGUAG
rnacentral:rRNA from 1 species